rnacentral:tRNA from 1 species
GGUCGGGCUGCUGGAAACUCUUUUGCUCAUUUGGCUUGUUCAACUCCUGCCUCGGCU